rnacentral:rRNA from 1 species
AGUGAACGCUGGCGGUAGGCCUAACACAUGCAAGUCGAACGGCAGCACAGGAGAGCUUGCUCUCUGGGUGGCGAGUGGCGGACGGGUGAGGAAUACAUCGGAAUCUACUUUUUCGUGGGGGAUAACGUAGGGAAACUUACGCUAAUACCGCAUACGACCUACGGGUGAAAGCAGGGGACCUUCGGGCCUUGCGCGAUUGAAUGAGCCGAUGUCGGAUUAGCUAGUUGGCGGGGUAAAGGCCCACCAAGGCGACGAUCCGUAGCUGGUCUGAGAGGAUGGUCAGCCACACUGGAACUGAGACACGGUCCAGACUCCUACGGGAGGCAGCAGUGGGGAAUAUUGGACAAUGGGCGCAAGCCUGAUCCAGCCAUACCGCGUGAGUGAAGAAGGCCUUCGGGUUGUAAAGCCCUUUUGUUGGGAAAGAAAUCCAGCCGGUUAAUACCUGGUUGGGAUGACGGUACCCAAAGAAUAAGCACCGGCUAACUUCGUGCCAGCAGCCGCCGUAAGAC